AUGUUAUUUAUGUUUUAUUCAGCUUUGAACCCAUCACUUAUUUCCAGGCUCCUAAACUCAAUUGAGCACCUCAAUGGCACUAACUUUCCUACAUGGAAGGAGCAGAUUUCCAUCAACCAUGGGGUCAUGGAUCUUGACUAUGCACUUAGGGAGAAGGCUCCAGUUCCCUUAUCCUUUGGUGAUGAAAACCUUGCUAAGAAAACUAAGGUUUAUGAGGCUAACAAGGAAAAGUGGGAGCGCCCCAAUCGAUUGUCCGUCAUGAUCAUGAAAAGCACAAUUACUCUUGGGAUAAGGGGAGCUAUCCCCGAUUCCGAAUGUGCUAAGACUUAUCUGGCAUCGGUGGAGGUACAGUUUAAAGGCUCCACAAAAGUCUAUGCUAGUACAUUGAUCAUGAAAAUGCCCACCACUAAGUAUGAUGGUGCAAGUGGUGUGAGAGAACAUAUCAUGACUAUGAACGAUAUGGCUGCAAAAUUAAAGGGCAUGGACAUAGAGAUUUCUAAGGGCUUUUUGGUUCAUUUCAUUAUGUCUUCCCUUCCUGUGGAGUUUGGUCCAUUCAAGAUCAACUAUAACACACAGAAGGAGAAGUGGACCAUGGGUGAGCUCACGGCUAUGUACGUUCAAGAAGAGGAGCGACUUAAGGUUGAGAGAAAAGAUUAG
rnacentral:rRNA from 1 species